rnacentral:rRNA from 1 species
GACGUAGGGCGCGAGCGUUGUCCGGAUUUAUUGGGCGUAAAGAGCUCGUAGGCGGCUUGUCGCGUCGACUGUGAAAACCCGCGGCUCAACCGCGGGCCUGCAGCCGAUACGGGCAGGCUAGAGUUCGGUAGGGGAGACUGGAAUUCCUGGUGUAGCGGUGAAAUGCGCAGAUAUCAGGAAGAACACCAAUGGCGAAAGCAGCUCUCUGGGACGGUACUGACGCUGAGACGCGAAAGCGUGGGGAGCGAACAGG